rnacentral:rRNA from 1 species
CGUGCAGGAUGAAGGCCCUUGGGUUGUAAACUGCUUUUCUUUGUGAGGAAUAUGACAGUAGCAGAGGAAUAAGGAUCGGCUAACUCCGUGC